AUACGUAGGGGGCGAGCGUUGUCCGGAAUGAUUGGGCGUAAAGGGCGCGUAGGCGGCCCGGUAAGUCUGGAGUGAAAGUCCUGCUUUCAAGGUGGGAAUUGCUUUGGAUACUGCCGCGCUUGAGUGCAGGAGAGGUUAUCGGAAUUCCCGGUGUAGCGGUGAAAUGCGUAGAGAUCGGGAGGAACACCAGUGGCGAAGGCGGAUAACUGGACUGCAACUGACGCUGAGGCGCGAAAGUGUGGGGAGCAAACAGGAUUAGAUACCCUGGUAGUCCACACUGUAAACGAUGAAUGCUAGGUGUAAGAGGUAUCGACCCCGUUUGCGCCGGAGUCAACACAAUAAGCAUUCCGCCUGGGAAGUACGGCCGCAAUGUGGAAACUCAAAGGAAUUGACGGGU
rnacentral:rRNA from 1 species